CGGACGAUGAGAUGGUCAUCAAGGAAACAAUGUGUGUGAUGCUCCUGACGAUUCAGUCCGGUCCUGCACUUGAGAAGGUCGACUUUACUCACCCGGAGGACAGCAUCUGAGAAAACAUAAAAGCAGAACACAGACUUGCGUGCUUGUACAGUCAUCCACAUAAUUCUUGACGACGACUUCCUUUGUGUCAUAAUCAUGGCAUUGAGCAACAAAACCAGAAACUGAACUGGAAACUGCUGCAGAAAGUGAACAGUAAGUCCUGCUUUAACCAGCUUGUGGCUCGUUCUGUAGUUUGUCUCUACAGCAGACGGGAUAUUUAUACUACAUCUCCAUCUCCACCCCAUCCACAGCUCAUAGCUGAAGUGUGAAUAGU